rnacentral:snRNA from 1 species
GCACUUGUUUCAAUUGCACAUAUACUGAAACUAGAAUGAUUCAGAGGAGAUUAGCAUGGUACCUGCACAGGGACAACAUACAAAUUCCUGAAACAUUCUAUCUUUUU